CAAAUCACUUCCAUGGAAAUCAUGAAAAAUAUAGAUGCCAAAAAUCUGCAAGUAGCAAAAGGCAUCACAUCACGAUCUGUUUGAUACAUCUGCCAAGUUUUGUAGAAAGGUAUUGAACGGUUUUCGAGUUGUGCUCCGGAAACGAAGCCUCACCCAUCCCUUUUGAGACGAAGCCUGAACUCUUUCCAUGGAAACCGAGAAAAGAAUAAAUCACAAAAGUCUGUAAAUAGCAACAGGCCCCAACUUAAGUUCUGUUUGAUUUAUCUACCAAUUUUUGUUGAAAAAUAUUAAACGGUUUUUGAGGAAUGCUCC